GGAGUUUCCGGGGGUGUGUUUGGAGGAGUUUCUGGUGGUGUGGUUGGAGGUGUCUUUGGUGUGUUUGGAGGAGUUCCCGGUGGUGUGUUUGGAGGUGUUUCUGGUGGAGUAUUUGGAGGACUUUGUGGGGGGGUGUUUGGUGGAGUUUCUGGUGGUGUGAUUGGAGGAGUUUCUGGUGGUGUGGUUGGAGGUGUCUCCGGUGGUGUGUUUGGAGGAGUUCCUGGUGGUGUGUUUGGAAGUGUCUCUGGUGGUGUGUUUGGAGGAGUUCCCGGUGGUGUGUUUGGAGGUGUUUCUGGUGGAGUAUUUGGAGGACUUUGUGGGGGGGUGUUUGGUGGAGUUUCUGGUGGUGUGAUUGGAGGAGUUUCUGGUGGUGUUGUUGGAGGUGUCUCCGGUGGUGUGUUUGGAGGAGUUCCUGGUGGUGUGUUUGGAAGUGUCUCCGGUGGUGUGUUUGGAGGAGUUCCCGGUGGUGUGUUUGGAGGUGUUUCUGGUGGAGUAUUUGGAGGACUUUGUGGGGGUGUGUUUGGUGGAAUUUCCGGUGGUGUGGUUGGAGAAGUUUCCGGUGGUGUGUUUGGAGAAGUUUCUGGUGGUGUGGUUGGAGGUGUCUCCGGUGGUGUGGUUGGAGGUGUCUCCGGUGGUGUGUUUGGAGGAGUUCCCGGUGGUGUGUUUGGAGGUAUUUCCGGUGGAGUGUUUGGAGGACUUUCUGGGGGCGUGUUUGGUGGAGUUUCUGGUGGUGUUGUUGGAGGUGUCUCCGGUGGCGUGUUUG
rnacentral:lncRNA from 1 species